CUUUUUAUCCAUUGGCAAGUCUCCCCUUCUCACAUCAGGACCUGGGCACUGCUUUCUUCCCCAGUUCCCGGAGUAGGUGUUGUAGCUAGUAGGGCUGAGGUGUGAGCACUGCUGUCUCUUCUCUUUGACAGAUCCAGCACCUGCUACCCCCUGCCUUGCAGGGAUGGAUCCAGAGCCAGGAGUCUUAUAGGCAUGAAUCCCACCUUAUUUACCCUCUCCAUAGCCAGGUGAAUUUUCCAGAUCCAAGGCACCUGUGUACCCCAGGUUCUACUUCCUUCACCUAGCUAACAUUUCCUCAUUCUUGCUUGUGCCAGAAAUUGCUGUUACUGACCCGGUCACUGUUAUUAUAUGGACAAUGGGCUAUUCUUGCAAGAUAUUCCUCUGAAGUUCUUUUUGUAAGAUUUAAUUUUAUUUCUUCUGCUCUAUCUUUUUGGCCAUUGCUGGCUGCUUAUCUGUCCUGUCUUUACUUUAGUACUUGAAUCAUCCAGGUUCUGCGUAGCUGCUCAUCAAGGGAGUGAAGUAGAGAGGUUCACAGAAUAGAAAGGGCUCCAACUACAGCAAGGACUCAUACAUAGUCUGGCCCUGAUAAGUAGCACCUGGGGGAGGGCGUGAUGUCAGGGCCAUAUACAAAUCAUGCCAGAAAGCUAUUCUCUGACUAGCCUUUUUGUGCCAAUCACAGUGGCGGCCACACCUCAUUUCUGCCUGUACUUCCCCAUUCUUCAGUUAGCCACCUUCUCAACUCUACUACUUGUCACUUUUUAUUUCCAACAUAGGGCUAAUUCUCACCUCCCUGGACUCCAUCUCUCAAUGCUUUUUCACACUGAUCCGUCUGCAGUGCUGUCCAACAUUGGCCUGUACCAUUUAUGUCAUGAGGUGUGCACAUUAUUAAUCCUUGAACACCAGCUGCUCUGUUGCAGUUGGAUUUUCCUGAGCCUGGAUACAACCUACUACAUAGUACUCAUGUGUCACCACCAAACAAGAUCCUGCUAAAAGUUGUUUGCAGAAUGAGCUGUAGAGCCUGCCUCUUCCCUUUGUGUCACUCCACAUGGUUGUGUUCCUCACCUUGUGAGGCCUCCCCCAUUCUGUAAUCUUUAAAGGCCCAGUGCUGCUAAGCAGCCUCAUCCUCAACUUGAACCCGACCACCUUGUCUUGCAAACAGUCCCAUGGGCUCAUCCUUGGAUUUGUGAGACACAGAUUUGUAUUGGGGAUUUCUCCUUGCACAGAGUCAACGUGUACAUCUCCAGCAUUUCUCUGCUUUCAGGUUGUUGGCAUGGAGAAGAGUGAGGAGGCACUUUCUGAGCAGACUAUCUCUGAUCAAGGAAGCUCACAGAUCAGAAUUGUUAAGGCAGGUCUGUCUCCCCAGAAGGCCAAUCUCUAUGAGAUGUGUGGCCCGAUCUUGAGUGACAUUUUUCACUUGGCUGAGUACCAGGUAGCACGCUGUGGGCAGAAACUACACGUGUGGGGCGUGUGAGAAACCAUUCUAUUUCAGAGCAAACCUCCAUAACCAAAAGCAGCACACUGGAGAGAAACCAUUGAGAAAUGAUGUGAGGAGAACAUUGUUUGUGAACAGCUGAAAAUUCUGUGUAUCAAGGAAGCCCUUUACCUUUGGGGAUGUUGGGAAGGACUUCCUGGGCAACUUAGGAUUUCUUCACCAACAGGCCACAUGCACCUGGGAGAAGUCAAAUAGUGGAACUGAGCGUGCGACUCCCUUUCCAAGGGGAAAAAAUCAUUAUAAGUGGGGAUACUGCCCAGAAACUUGCAGUGGCAAACACACUUGUUCAGCACCAGAGAGUCCUCACUAGAGGAAGACGUUACACAUGCAGCUAAUGUGGGAAAUCAUUUAGCAAAAGCUCCCAUCUCGUUAGACAUGAGAGAGUUCACACUGGAGAAAGGCCUUAUGAGUGCAGUGAAUGUGGGAAAUCCUUUAGCCAAAGCUCUAACCUCAUCACACAUCAGAGAGUUCACAGUGAGAAAAGGCCUUACAAUUUGGGGAAUAUGCUGAAUUCUUUACCUACAGCUCCAGUCUCUUAAAACACUAGACUGUUUGCACUGGAUCAAGGCCUUGUUAAUGCAAUGAAUACGGUAAGGCCAUUAGCCCAAGGUUUUGACUCUGGAACCACAGAUUUCAGAAGGAAAAAAACAUCUUGCAUGUGCAGGGAUGUACAAUUUCCUUUUUCAGUAUGUCAACACUUGAGAUCCCUCAUCGUGGUACCAUCUGAAUUGAACCUCAUACAUCCAAACGUCUGCAAACAUCCCAGGUAUGUGGGAGCUGCACUGUACUUUUUAACCUGCCCAGGUCCCUUGCCAGAUUUCUGUCAUUGACAGUUUCUGUGGCCAAAGCCAUUUCACCUCUCCCACCUGGCAGGUACUCACAGUGUACAGCAUUCACCCACCCCAGGGUGUUCAGGGAAAGAAACCUUGGUCUUUCCCAUUCACAGGAGGGAUUGUGAGAAGCCUGAGCACUCACUCCUUUCUCAUUUCUUUGAUGAGUUAAGUCACUGACCUGACCCAUUUUUGGCCCAAAGGACUCUGCUUGUGACUUGCAAAAAUGGAUGACCUUAUUCAGGGAUAUUGUUGGCCUCACAUAACUCCUAUGAUAGGAUUUUCUAGCCCACAUAACUCCUAUGAUAGGAUUUUCUAGCCAUCAAGUCACCAAUCCAGGAGUAGCUUCCCUCCCAUUGCUCUGGUUUGUGCAAUUAUAAAGGUCUCACUGUUUAAGCCACAUUUAAUCUUGAGGUUCCAUUCACUGUAGGGGAUGAUUUGAAAACACUUGGGUUCUGCUAACAUAAAGGACUGAUCAGCUUUUGUUGGGAAUCCCACGCUUUGUGUGCCUUAAGGGCACAAUAUGAUAGCAGGUAUACCUCUCUCCAUUUUGGGGUUUGUUUGCAUUAUUGCCCAAGGCUUCCAAGGAAAGACUACAGAGCUUUCUGGUUCUAAUUUGUGGCCUGAGUGCCAUAUUUUCUUGGUUCAGAGGUCAGCCUGGGGAAGGAGCAAUUGUGAUAACCUUCCUUGCUUCUGAGAGUAACAUGAAAUUGUUGUCUUGUUCACAGGGGAUAUUGCCUUGAGCUCAGCAUUAGUGAGGAAAAUAUUCUCCCAGGUCCUGCAGUAGAGCCAUGUGCCCUUAUGUGCAGAAUUCUGCAGUGUAGCAUCACUGGUUGUAAGAUUAUAGGGGGAAUGAUAAUUGUUACAGAAAACAUUGGAUUAAUAGUGGGAGGAGGACACUAUUACAAGCUGGUUGGAAUGUGCUUCAUUUAAAGGGGCAUCCACAACGACAGUGUUCCAGUCACUGUUGCUGUGAAGGAUGAGCAUGUACAGAAAUUCUCAGAUCUCCUGAAUUGAGAAGGGCAUUACAAGAGAAAAUAAUCUGAAGGUUUUGUGGAUUUCUGUAGCCUCUGUGGGCUAUCCUCCUCAAGGCCAUUUCUGUGCCAGACAGAAAAAUGAGAAUAGAGAGAAGGGAUAUCUUUUCAUCGAGUAAUGGACUUUGUGACCCAGACAGUAUUCCUGUUGAAUCAGGUGGGAACAGUCUUCAUUGCUUACUUAUAUUUUUGACCACUGAGGCAAGGUGACCCUCCCAGGGUGUGAGGCAGAAAGUGGUGAAGUCAAUAUAGGGGAUUUUACAAAAAGAGUAAGAAAUCCAGAUUUUUAUUUUGGAUAAUAUUUUUAAGCUUUAAUAAGGUAUGAAUACAUGCAAUAAAAUGCACAUGGUUAAAAUAUACAAUUUGAUAAGUUUUGACAUUUAUAUAAAUCCAUGGAACCACCAUCACAUCCAUAAUAAACCUAUCUACCUUCAUAUUUACCUUGUUUCUUUCAUUGAUGUUACUCUGACCUCUAGUCAAUCAUUGAUUUAUUUUUCUUUACAAUAGAUAAGUUUGCAUUGUCUAGAAUUUUAUAUGAUUAAAGUCAUAAAGUGUUUAUUCUUUUCCCCUCAGGUACCCGCAUGUGACAUGUUUAUUUUGAGAGUCAUCAGUUUUCAAAGCAACUGCAUGAAAGCUUGGAGGCCUACCAGGUGGUCUGCAGGUCUUAGCCUUUUUGGCUUUGGCCCAUGAUGCCCAGUUGUGUCUCCAGGGGCCAUUAUCUGCAUUUCAUCAGCAAGAAGAGUUGCUGUUGUACCUCAUCCUCCAGUGAUGGGUAUCAGCAUUUCGGAAGGUUAGCAGGACACAGAGGUGUGUAGUGCUGUCUUGUGGUUGUAAUUUUGCAUUCCUCAUAAAUCCUAUAUGGUUCAUAUUUCUGUCCCCUUAUGUAUUUUCUGUAUAUCUUUGUAGGCGAAGUGUCUCUUCAGAUCUUGACUUACCUUGAAUGGAGCUGUUUGUUUUCUAGUUCUUUGUCUACUCUGAGGAAAAAUUCUUUAUCUUUGGCCUCUGUUAGGCAAAUAAGAUUUCUCUUCCACUUUGUGGCUUGUUUUCUGGCUUUCGGCAUAAUGUAUUUCAGCAUGGAGAAAUUUUCAUUUAAUAAAGUAAUUGUUAGAUUUUGUUUC